rnacentral:rRNA from 1 species
UUUUCUUGUUAGUUUUUGAAGUAUGGCCUGCCCACUGAUUGAAGGGCCGCGGUAUUUUGACCGUGCAAAGGUAGCAUAGUCAUUAGUUCUUUAAUUGUGAUCUGGUAUGAAUGGCUUGACGAGAUGCUUGCUGUCUUUUUGAAUUUGAUUUUUGAGUUAAAAUUCUUAGAUGUUUUUAUGGGACGAGAAGACCCUAUAGAGUUUAACAUUGGUUCUUGUUUGUUUUGGUUGCUUGCUUGUUUUGUUGGGGUGAUGGGAGGAAUUUUUUUAACUCCUCUUUGUGGUAUAUUAUUUAUAUUUGUUUUGAUCCAUUUAUUUUGAUUAUAAGAUUAAAUUACCUUAGGGAUAACAGCGUUAUCUUCCCUGAGAGUUCUUAUUGGCGGGGGGGUUUGCGACCUCGAUGUUGGAUUAAGGUUAAUUUUUGGUGUAGGAGCUGAAUUGAUUAGGUCUGUUCGACCUUUAAAAUCUU